GAUUUGUUUUUUUUUUUUUUUGGGGCCAGCUUUACGAGUAUCAAUAUAAUAUGGGGCUUCUCUUGAUUGAGAAAAAAGAGUGGAGCUCUAAGUAUAAUGAGCUGAAUCAAGAUUUGGCAGAAGUGAAGGAUGCUCUUGAAAGAGAAAAAUCUGCUCAUUUAAUUACCAUCUUUGAGGCAGAGAAGCGGGAAGAGCAUCUGAGGAAGGCCUUGGGUGUUGAGAAAGAAUGUGUGCUUGAUCUAGAGAAGGUUGUGCGAGAAAUGCGCUCAGAGCAUGCAAAUAUUAAAUUUUCUGCAGAGUCAAAGUUGGCGGAAGCAAAUGCAUUGGAUGCUAGCAUUAAAGAGAAAUCUUUAGAAGUGGAAGCCAAGUUGCGUCUGCUGAUGCCAAACUUGCAGAAAUAAGCAGAAAGAGUUCAGAGAUUGACAGAAAAUCACACGAUCUUGAGUCUCAAGAAGCUUUACUUCGAAGGGAUCGCUUAUCUCUGAUUGCAGAUCAAGAAGCACAUGAGAGUACUUUAUCAAAGCAGAGAGAGGACUUGCGAGAAUGGGAAAAGAAAUUGCAGGAGGG